CCUCCCCCACGGCCCCGAAAGUCUACGCUCUGCCCCCCAGCUGCGGGGACACACCUAGUUCCACAGUGGUCGUGGGCUGCCUGGUCUCAAGCUACUUCCCUGAGCCAGUGAUCGUGAACUGGAAACCGGGCACCCAUUCCAGAGGCGUGCACACCUUCGCAUCCGUCCACGGCUCCUCGGGGCUGUACUCUCUCAGCAGCACUGUGACCGUGCUUGCCAGCACCUCAUCCGGCAAGAGCUUCACCUGCAACGUAGCCCACACGGCCAGCAGCACCAACGUGGACAGGCGCAUCGAAAUCAACGGCCCAAACCCCUGUACCAGGUGUCCCAUAUGCCCAGCCAUUGAGCUCCCAGGAGGACCGUCCGUCUUCAUCUUCCCCCCGAAACCCAAGGACACCCUCACAAUAUCCCGAACACCGGAAGUCUCCUGCAUGGUGGUGGACGUGAGCAAGGAGGACCCCAAUGUCCAGUUCUCCUGGUACGUGGACGGUGUAGAGGUGCACACAGCCAAGACAAAGCCAAAGGAGGAGCAGUUCAACAGCACCUACCGUGUGGUCAGCGCCCUGCCCAUCCAGCACCAGGACUGGCUGAAGGGAAAGGAGUUCAAGUGCAAGGUCAACAACAAAGGCCUC